AUUGAACGCUGGCGGAAUGCUUUACACAUGCAAGUCGAACGGCAGCACGGACUUCGGUCUGGUGGCGAGUGGCGGACGGGUGAGUAAUGUAUCGGAACGUGCCCAGUCGUGGGGGAUAACGUAGUGAAAAUUACGCUAAUACCGCAUACGAUCUAUGGAUGAAAGCGGGGGAUCGCAAGACCCCGCCCGAUUGGAGCGGCCGAUAACAGAUUAGGUAGUUGGUGGGGUAAAGGUCCACCAAGCCAACGAUCUGGAGCUGGUCUGAGAGGACGACCAGCCACACUGGAACUGAGAAACGGUCCAGACUCCUACGGGAGGCAGCAGUGGGGAAUUUUGGACAAUGGGCGAAAGCCUGAUCCAGCCAUUCCGCGUGCAGGAUGAAGGCCCUCGGGUUGUAAACUGCUUUUGUACAGAACGAAAAGGUUUCUACUAAUACUAGGAGCUCAUGACGGUACUGUAAGAAUAAGCACCGGCUAACUACGUGCCAGCAGCCGCCGUAA
rnacentral:rRNA from 1 species